rnacentral:rRNA from 1 species
AGAACGAACGCUGGCGGCAGGCCUAAUACAUGCAAGUCGAACGCACUCUUCGGAGUGAGUGGCAGACGGGUGAGUAACGCGUGGGAACCUUCCCAAUGGUACGGAAUAACUCCGGGAAGCCGGUGCUAAUACCGUAUAAGCCCUCGGGGAAAGAUUUAUCGCCAUUGGAUGGGCCCGCGUCGGAUUAGCUAGUUGGUAAGGUAAUGGCUUACCAAGGCUACGAUCCGUAGCUGGUCUGAGAGGAUGAUCAGCCACACUGGGACUGAGACACGGCCCAGACUCCUACGGGAGGCAGCAGUAGGGAAUCUUGGACAAUGGGCGAAAGCCUGAUCCAGCCAUGCCGCGUGAGUGAAGAAGGCCUUAGGGUUGUAAAGCUCUUUUGGCGGGACGAUAAUGACGGUACCCGCAGAAUAAGCCCGGCUAACUUCGUGCCAGCAGCCGC